rnacentral:rRNA from 1 species
GAUGAACGCUAGCGAUAGGCCUAACACAUGCAAGUCGAGGGGCAUCACAUGAAGUAGCAAUACGGAUGGUGGCGACCGGCGCACGGGUGAGUAACACGUAUGCAACCUGCCUUCAACAAGGGGAUAACCCGUUGAAAGACGGACUAAUACCCUAUAACACAGGGGUCCCGCAUGGGAAUAUUUGUUAAAGGACAACCGGUUGAAGAUGGGCAUGCGUUCCAUUAGCUAGUUGGCGGGGUAACGGCCCACCAAGGCAACGAUGGAUAGGGGAACUGAGAGGUUUAUCCCCCACACUGGUACUGAGACACGGACCAGACUCCUACGGGAGGCAGCAGUGAGGAAUAUUGGUCAAUGGACGCAAGUCUGAACCAGCCACGUCGCGUGAAGGAAGACGGCCCUACGGGUUGUAAACUUCUUUUAUACGGGAAUAAAGUGCCCCA